UCAUAACGAUCGACUCGAUCGUCUAUGGCUCGGAGGAUGGGUUUGACGGCUGUCCUUCGUCAGGAUAACGAGAGGCAGACCUGAUUCGAAGUUUCGUAAGAUGGGAGUGGUUGGCUAAGGGAGAGAGUUCUGUUCCUGACUUCACCCCUGAAUCAAUGCCCCUAUACUACCCCAAGGUGCCGCAACAAGAAAAUGGGUACGACUGUGGAGUAUUUUCAUGCUGUUUUUUGAGAGUUUCUUAAAUCGAAAGUGUCCUGUGAGUGACCUACUUUCAGACCAAAUCCUACUGUGGUAUAAUCAAAGUGCAGCUUUGCCGAUGCGGGAAAGAAUGACAAAUAUCAUUCUAGGAUUCGGAAAUAUUCUUAGUUCCGAUUAGGUUGCUUAAAUGUAAAUA